rnacentral:rRNA from 1 species
CCUACGGGGCGCAGCAGUGGGGGAUAUUGCACAAUGGGGGAAACCCUGAUGCAGCGACGCCGCGUGUGGGAAGACGGUCCUCUGGAUUGUAAACCACUGUCCCCAGGGACGAAGAUGACGGUACCUGGGGCGGCAGCUCCGGCUAACUACGUGCCAGCAGCCGCGGUAAUACGUAGGGAGCGAGCGUUGUCCGGAAUUACUGGGUGUAAAGGGAGCGUAGGCGGGACUGCAAGUUGGGUGUCAAAUCUACCGGCUCAACCGGUAGCCGCACUCAAAACUGCAGUUCUUGAGUGAAGUAGAGGCAGGCGGAAUUCCUAGUGUAGCGGUGAAAUGCGUAGAUAUUAGGAGGAACACCAGUGGCGAAGGCGGCCUGCUGGGCUUUGACUGACGCUGAGGCUCGAAAGUGUGGGGAGCAAACAGGAUUAGAUACCCGAGUAGUC